rnacentral:rRNA from 1 species
UUGAACGCUGGCGGCAGGCCUAACACAUGCAAGUCGAACGGUAACAGGAAACAGCUUGCUGUUUCGCUGACGAGUGGCGGACGGGUGAGUAAUGUCUGGGAAACUGCCUGAUGGAGGGGGAUAACUACUGGAAACGGUAGCUAAUACCGCAUAACGUCGCAAGACCAAAGAGGGGGACCUUCGGGCCUCUUGCCAUCGGAUGUGCCCAGAUGGGAUUAGCUAGUAGGUGGGGUAACGGCUCACCUAGGCGACGAUCCCUAGCUGGUCUGAGAGGAUGACCAGCCACACUGGAACUGAGACACGGUCCAGACUCCUACGGGAGGCAGCAGUGGGGAAUAUUGCACAAUGGGCGCAAGCCUGAUGCAGCCAUGCCGCGUGUAUGAAGAAGGCCUUCGGGUUGUAAAGUACUUUCAGCGGGGAGGAAGGGAGUAAAGUUAAUACCUUUGCUCAUUGACGUUACCCGCAGAAGAAGCACCGGCUAACUCCGUGCCAGCAGCCACGGUAAUACGGAGGGUGCAAGCGUUAAUCGGAAUUACUGGGCGUAAAGCGCACGCAGGCGGUUUGUUAAGUCAGAUGUGAAAUCCCCGGGCUCAACCUGGGAACUGCAUCUGAUACUGGCAAGCUUGAGUCUCGUAGAGGGGGGUAGAAUUCCAGGUGUAGCGGUGAAAUGCGUAGAGAUCUGGAGGAAUACCGGUGGCGAAGGCGGCCCCCUGGACGAAGACUGACGCUCAGGUGCGAAAGCGUGGGGAGCAAACAGGAUUAGAUACCCUGGUAGUCCACGCCGUAAACGAUGUCGACUUGGAGGUUGUGCCCUUGAGGCGUGGCUUCCGGAGCUAACGCGUUAAGUCGACCGCCUGGGGAGUACGGCCGCAAGGUUAAAACUCAAAUGAAUUGACGGGGGCCCGCACAAGCGGUGGAGCAUGUGGUUUAAUUCGAUGCAACGCGAAGAACCUUACCUGGUCUUGACAUCCACAGAACUUUCCAGAGAUGGAUUGGUGCCUUCGGGAACUGUGAGACAGGUGCUGCAUGGCUGUCGUCAGCUCGUGUUGUGAAAUGUUGGGUUAAGUCCCGCAACGAGCGCAACCCUUAUCCUUUGUUGCCAGCGGUCCGGCCGGGAACUCAAAGGAGACUGCCAGUGAUAAACUGGAGGAAGGUGGGGAUGACGUCAAGUCAUCAUGGCCCUUACGACCAGGGCUACACACGUGCUACAAUGGCGCAUACAAAGAGAAGCGACCUCGCGAGAGCAAGCGGACCUCAUAAAGUGCGUCGUAGUCCGGAUUGGAGUCUGCAACUCGACUCCAUGAAGUCGGAAUCGCUAGUAAUCGUGGAUCAGAAUGCCACGGUGAAUACGUUCCCGGGCCUUGUACACACCGCCCGUCACACCAUGGGAGUGGGUUGCAAAAGAAGUAGGUAGCUUAACCUUCGGGAGGGCGCUUACCACUUUGUGAUUCAUGACUGGGGUG